GUAUUUUGAAUUAAGUAUUCAUAAUAUUUUUCAGACAAACUGGUUAAAGAUAUGUUGUUAUAUAAUCUCAGAGCAAAGAGAUCUCGAAAGACCUCUUCAGAAUGAGAUAACAUUGCACACAAGGUGGAUAUGGAUUUUAAAAAGUGCCAUAAAACACUUAUUAUGAAUGAUCCUUCCGCAGGUUCACCUACGGAAA
rnacentral:misc_RNA from 1 species